UGGUGAGCAUAAAAAUUUCAGUACGAGUUGAUAAAGGUGUGGAUAUGUUUUCUGGUUAUUCUUCCAGUAUUGUAAAGGAGUACAAACAUAUCUAAUUGGAAAAAUAACAGUAAACAAUGCCAAAAGGAGAAACAGAUUUACCUUGUUUGGCGUCAAAAGAUCAAAAUUAUUCCAGACGGGAGAAACGUCUUUGAACGAUCCAUGAAGUCAGUGGAACAAGGUGAGGGCAAACAGAACUCCGUCCAACAAAUCCGCAACAUGUCGAUACAGUUUGUUUCCUUAUAAACAAUUUGGCGCGGUGCAGUCGAACGACAGUUACUGUAUCGGUCACAUGAUUUUGUCUUAAAGCGAUACACGCACCAAUACGGGAUUUCACUCUUGUGUGCUCGGCACAGUGUUGACGCACCAGUGUUGUUCAUCCCAUCACUAAGUACGCCCCUUCAUCUUCUCCCUUGUUUUCAGGGCCCCCACAGCAGAUCCAAGGUGCAUCUGCAUUUUGAUUUGGCACAAGUUUUAUGUUGGAUGCCCUUACUGAUGCAGCUCCACAUUAUGUCGUGAAAUGGGCAAGGGUGGACCUAAAACUUCAGAGCAUUAUUAUAUUCCUUUGCCGUGUUAAUGUCUGUGAUCCCAACACAUUAUAUCUCGAAAGUACACUGCUCAUUAUUUAAGGCCACGUACGACUUACUUGGCUGGGGCUCGAAAUUACGCACGAGUCCAUGGAAGCAUAAUAGACUUCGACAGCUACGAUGGAUUAUGUAGAAUCCUCAGUCUGGAUUUGUUGUGACCCCGUCUUGGCCUGUUAUGUUUUUGGAACAGUUUGUUCACUUACUGUUAAUUUGACUCACUUAUAACUGUAGGAGAUAAGAUGCCAUGCUAAUUCGCUGAGGUUUUUGACUUUGUUCCUCGCCCCCUUUGUCAAAACUUGGCCGAGCUGCACUGGAUGUCACUCAUUUGCCUGAUGUUUCAAAACACAGUUAUAAACUACGUGUAAAACACGGAGGGUUUGAGUCAUAUCCAAAACCGAAAUAUUAAAUUUGCAUGAGCGUUAAAAAAAAGAGUAGCAAAUUCAGAAAAAUGUGAGAAAUUAUUUUGUGUGUUUGGAUAAAUAAUAAAAUAAGCACAGUAACGAGCUGCUGGAUCCAAAGAACAUUUGAUGUCUUUGCAUCAUAAAUUAUGAAAAUGGUAAAUUUUUCAUCCAACCACAAAGAAACUUAUUUCAUCUUUCUUUUUUUCCCUCUCUCUGAUAGAGUUGCUGAUUGGUUAAUGGUCGUGGUGCGUGUUCAUGGAUGGUGGCGCCACCGUGAAGACGCUGUGAUUCCUGGACCAUGUGAACCGCAAGUGUCCUGAUGAUGAUCUGAAGAUGGUUUCUGUGGUCAGAAGUGAUGAUCGUGACACGUUAGAUAUUUGAUUCGGUACUGAUGAAAAUAUUGGUCUGGCAUGACCCAAGUACCAUAAUUUGUUUUGGGAUUUUUUUUUUUUUUUUUUUACUUUUACUGCACUAAUUGAAUACAGUUUUGUCCUGCAGGUGUUGGACAGAUGUUCUCUGUAAAUGGACGUGUGAGGUAACGUUAUUUGUGUAAUUUUGCACUGGAAGGUUAACACUGACUCAUGCAAAUAAAGAA